rnacentral:rRNA from 1 species
UACGUAGGGUGCAAGCGUUGUCCGGAAUUAUUGGGCGUAAAGAGCGUGUAGGCGGCCAGGUAGGUCUGCUGUGAAAACUCGAGGCUUAACCUCGAGCUGUCGGCGGAAACCAUCUGGCUAGAGUCCGGGAGAGGAGAGUGGAAUUCCUGGUGUAGCGGUGAAAUGCGCAGAUAUCAGGAAGAACACCCGUGGCGAAAGCGGCUCUCUGGAACGGUACUGACGCUGAGACGCGAAAGCGUGGGGAGCGAACAGG